UUAAUAGGUUCACAGGCUCAUAAUUUUGGAGGAAAAUUGCUACCCAAAUCAAUGUAAUUGUCUAAAAUGUAAUCGGAAAAUAUAGAAGUAGUACUAGAAUUUAUACUAGGUGAUAUCGACGUAAGUUCACAAAAUUCACUUAAAAGUUCACUUAAAAAUUCAUUAGGCGUAAAUAACUCAAUCCAUAGAAACACUUUAUCCAUUUUUGACCAGUCGAAAAAAAUUACUAUUUAUAAAACCAAAGAAGAAAAGGGAAAUAUUAAUAUGUUUUUAGUACAUAGCGAGUUUCUACAUGAAGAUGACUUAGUGAAUGUCACUAUUAUUACAUUAUUACAUUUAAACCAUUUAUUAAUUGCAUUAAAUAGUUAUUCCCUGAUAAGGAUUGAAAAUCAUUUCACUGUUUAAGUUGAAGAAUUGAACUUCGAUACGCUUCUUGAAACUCAGAUUAUCGGGCAUUUUUGUGAUAAAACUUAAGGAAAUAAAUUUAAAAAUAAAACUUUUAUUGAUGUUCUGUGUGCAGUAUAUAAUGAAUAUACAGAAUUUCAGAUAAAUGCGAAAAAAAAACUAUCAAAUUUUCUUAAUAUUUAUUAUGUGAAAAAUGAUUUUCAACUAAGGUAAAUUUUAAAACAAAAUAAAGAAAUAGAUCAGAUAUCACAUAUGACAUUCGCAUCAGUUUAUCUGAAAUUCUACUUUAGUGGGAAAUUGUAUGCAAUAACAUUCAAAAUCAGUCAUCAGUAAUCACACUUAUUCUCAUUGAAAUUAUUAUAUCAUAUUAAUUUUAUGUAUUGUAUUUUUAUUUUGAAAUGUACCUAAAUUAAUCGUUAUNAAUGAUAAAAUUGAUUAUUAUUUAUUUAUUUAUGCUUAUUUAUUCAUAUAACUUGUAUAAUUAAUAUUUUUAAUUAUAAAUUUAAUAUGUAUUAUGCAUUAUGGGAUAUUAUAUUUAAUAUAUAAUGAAAAAAGAGUAAAUGAGUGGGUCGCCUCAACAAAAAGGUUGGGAACUACUGAUCUAUAGCAUGAUAAUAAUUUAAAUAUUUUUUGAUGUAAACAUAUAUUAUCAUAGAUUAUUAUCACAUUUGGAUAUUCUUGUCGAGGCCAUUAACAACAGAAAAGCAUGGAGUCUGAAAAGUAACUAUGUGGAUAUAACUGUUUGACCAAACAAAAAUACAUGCAAAUUUAGCAGAAACUUUAUUAUGCUCAUAAAUUGUAUUAAUUUACAGUGGUAAAACAAAAAAAUAAAGUGUAAUGUAGUAAUUCUUGUUUUAUACAUAAUUCUUUACAUUAUGUACACAAUAUAAUCAUUUAAUAAUUUGUUAUGAUCAAAUUUUGAUGAAAGUCUUAAAUAUAAAUGGAUGAAAGUCUUAAAUAUAAAUGCCUUUAAAUUGUUAAAAAAGCUCUGAAAAACCACUCACAAAAUAUUAAAAAAAAAAAAUAACUGAGGAAGAAUUUAAAUGAUCCUCUUCUAAUAGUUGUAAUUCAUUAAAUUCAAUUUUCUAACGUUACACAAAUUAUUAACUCAAAGUUUUUUUUUUAUAAAUAUCCUAAAUUUACAAAUACCUACAAUUUCAUUAAAAAAAAUAAAUAUUUUUUUGUUAAUUAUUUGAGUCGUAUUAGAAAAUUGUAUUUAAAAGAUUAGAGUCUUUAUACAGAAGACCUUUAAGCCCUUCAAACAUAUUUUGUAAUCUCAUAUUGUGUACUCUUUGUCAGAGCUUUUUUGACGUUUUUAAGUGGC
rnacentral:lncRNA from 1 species